rnacentral:lncRNA from 1 species
GGCUUUAGAAAAGAAAAAAUAUUUAAGAUGCCUGCAGGCUACCUCGACCUUGAACAAGGAGGUGGUGAUACUAGAGCGUCUCAUCCUUCAGUGAGUCCUGCCGAAGCUGCACAAAUCUGUUGUGAGAAUUCACAGACCUCUGCGCCUUCCCUUGGAGGUCCCUGGUUAUGGAUGCGCCUGCAGAUAGUGUGAAGAGGACCGCUCUGCAUUC